rnacentral:rRNA from 1 species
UACGAAGGGAGCUAGCGUUGUUCGGAAUCACUGGGCGUAAAGAGCGUGUAGGCGGCUCGAUAAGUCUGCUGUGAAAGUCCAGGGCUCAACCCUGGAAGGCCGGUGGAAACUGUCGGGCUAGAGUCCGGAAGAGGCGAGUGGAAUUCCCGGUGUAGCGGUGAAAUGCGCAGAUAUCGGGAGGAACACCAAUGGCGAAGGCAGCUCGCUGGGACGGUACUGACGCUGAGACGCGAAAGCGUGGGGAGCAAACAGG